rnacentral:lncRNA from 1 species
AGCACUGGCAAAUCAGGGAGCUGUCAGAAACAGCUGUCCAUUAACGGAGUUUGUGGAAACAACCAGGAGCUGUUUGAAAAUGCUAGGUGGUAGAAUUUAAUUGGAGUAGCAACUGUUCAAAAUUAAGAUUAAAAGGACCAGUCAGUCAACGUGGAUUUCGUGACACCUUAAAAAUAACGUUUCAGGUUUGAUUAAUGCUGCAAGAAGUUUGCACAUUUCUCUCCUUUGCUGAUAGGGCCUGCGUGCUGAUAGUUGAUUCAGUGAAUAUAUGUAGCAGUGAUAGCUCAUGGGCUCCAGAGGUCAGAUAUCUUAUUCUCUAGGCUGAAACCCUUGUUGCUUUAAGGAAACAGGAUUUUAAUAGGAAUCACAUGCAGAUUGACUACAGGGAGCCAAGCGGUAGUGGAAGAAGCAAAGUUGGCGGUUUUGGAGACGGACGUCUAUCUAUCCACAGUGGGACAAAAAUGAAGGUUAUUGAAAAGAAUCAUGCUUGGUGGAAGAAGUAAUUACAUUUUUUUUUCAAAUCUCAGAGGAAUAAUGCUUUUAUAUUUCCUGCGAUGACCCAAUUUGCACUACGAUAUGCUCCCUUAAAUGUGAUUUAAACAGAAGAGAGGACCACCCCGCCAACCAAAUGUCCAGGUCCUAUUCCAUGGAACCUAUGAACAGGUUGUCCCACAUUGCAAAAGGGACUUCACAGAUGUCGGUAAGUUAAGGCCAUUGAGACGAAUGAUUCUGGAUUGUCUGUUGGGCCCAAUGUGAUCAAAAGUUUCCCUAGAAGAGCUAGAGAAGAUGCGAUAAUGGAAGCGGAAUCAAAGACAGAUUUGAAGAUGCUGCUGUCUUUGGAGAGAAUGGCCAGGAGGCAAGGAACACAAGCAGCCCCUAGAAGUUGGAAAAGAUUCUCCUUAUUUACUCCUGGGUUGAAAGAACAUGAAAGUUACUGCAAAAGCAUUUCAAACAUCAUCAUGAUAGAGGGAAUCAAACAAUUUAAUUAAGAGUGAAACAUCAAUGUAAAAUGCUGAUGAUUUCAUCCUUGAGGUGCUGAUGGUUCAUAUUAGUAUGGAAAGAAUGCAGAAACAGGAGUGAUAAGGGGGAACUGAGGACUAAAUUUUUCUAAAGGUCUUCCUAAGGUUCCUGGAAGAAGUCACGUUUAUAAGCCAGAACUUACAUAUCUUUCUGCUGUCCCAAAAUUUUUAAACAAAACUACUCUUCCUUAACCAACUGCAAAUCAGAAAAUCUUGGAAUCUACUUAUGACCUGUAAGCCUCCGCUUCAAGAUACCCCACCUUUUUAGACCAAAGCAAUGACUAACCUCCAUGUAUUGAGGUAUGAUUUUGCCUGUAACUUCUGCCUUCUUGAAAGUUACCCAUACCUUUAAAGACCCUUGCUUGCAAGCCACUGAGAAGAUGGGUCUAAAGUGUGCAUUGCCCCAUUCUCCUUGCCUGGUUCCCUGCAAAUAAAUGCCCUGCUUUCUGCAGUGGCAAACCUCA